ACUACAGGGCUUUUUAGCUAAAGUUGCCCAUUAAAAAUUUCCAGCUUUCCUAUUAACUACAGUAUGUCUUUGCGAUUAAUUACAGCAUGUGGCAGCAAUAUACACUAUGAUACAUAUAUUUUUCAGAAAGGAAAAGAAGCCAGAUGAUCCAGCAGAGCAGUGCAGUCACGUCCCCAGCAAGCACCACUGCUCAAGACCAUCUGCCUUGGCAGAGUAUUAAGGACCAUCACUCAAGAGUGAGACAGUGGCUAAGCAAAAUCUUUUGGUUAUGAAUCCUACAAGAGCAAAGCAAACUUUUCAAGCUAAUAUUUGAAAUAACUUUACAGAUAAAGAAUAAGAGGCAACAAGAACAUAUUAGCAUUUCUUUGAUAUGUAUUUGCCGAAUGAAUAAUUUUUCUUCAUGCUUCUUUAAAAAGGACUGUGAUUACCACAUCCCAUUUUCAUAUUCAAAAAAAGUGAAGCAUGGAAACUUUCCUUUGGAGUACUGAAAUGAAGCAUUAAUACUUACAAGGCUGUUUUCCUAAUUUUCUUGAAAAAUAUUUAUAAUAAGUAGCAGUUUUUCUCAAAAGAAAAUAAGUUCCUUAUCCAUUCACUGAGAAAUUAUCACACCAAGGAGAGUCUUUUUUCAAGCAAACCUCCCACAUCAGCCACUGAAGCAGCUAAAACCUGCACUCCUUUUCAGCAGCCCAGCUCACUCAUUCCUCCCAGCUGAGGAAAGCUGUGUGCACUGGGCUAGGGAGUUCAGUGUAUUUUUCAGUGUGAGCAUUUAUUUUCUGGUCUGUGCAAUUCUAACCUGUCUGCUCUCACGAACAUUAUGGGACUCUGACAAUUUCUAAUGAUGACAAAGUAAUUCAGCACUGUCUGUGUUUAUUCCUCCAGGAAUACGCUGCUUUAGCAGAAGCACAUUUGCAAUGUGCAUGACCCCUGCUCUCCUUCAUAAAUCUUUCUGACAAAACGAAGAGCCGGGGUAGCAUUUGGAAUGGGAGCAGUAUCAACUGCUGCAUCUUCCUGCUUUAGGACCUGUGUUUGGGACCAUGAAGAAGGUGAUGUGCCAGCAUUCCAACUUGAUACUUGAGGCUGUUUCGACACUGUGGGACCCAUCCUCCAGUUCCACAAAGCAGGCUGAGCAGAAGGGUGUGAGAGCAAAUUCCCCAAACUUGGCGUACAUAGAUCAUGGACAAAAGAUUGCAAAACAUCUACAACAGGUACAAUGGUGGUCUGCAAAGCAGGGAGUGACAACCCCAGGUUGGGCAGAGAAGGCAGGAAAUAUAACCCAUGGUUUCCUUAGAAAAACCCCAUUGGGAGCUAGACAUCAAAGCUGGCUGUCUAUUCAGGCUUGCAGGCAGAACCCACUCCCAGACUGUUCGCUGCAUUGCGCCCAUGUGGAGCAUCUGAUGUGUACAAAAUGGAAGCCUUAUUCUGAGUUCUGAACUUGAUCUGUAAGUCUGCAGUUAAGAUCUUUCUUUUACAGACAAAGGAAAUCUUUCCUGAAAUUUGUUGGAUUUGCUUCACAGUAAAGUGGUUUUCAUCUAAGAUGUCUUUGUGUGUUGACAACCUUGUCUGAAGGUUAUUUCAUUGUAUUCUCCUUGAUCAAGUGCUAUUCACAAUACAGUGGAUGUCAUGACCCAGUAAUCCCAUUUAAUAAAAUUCAAUGUCUCCUGACUAGCUA